CUUGCCUCCAUUAUGAGCUGAGUGAAUUCAAGCUGCUCAGUUCCCACUCCUUUGUCCUCCAAGAUUCUCAGUAGGCUUUGCUGCCUCUAUGGUUUGAGGGUGAAGGUCAAAAUUAGGGCAGACCCAAGAAUAAGGGCAGAAAAUGUCACUUGAGUUCCUCUGCUUGAAACCAGACUUCCCAUUUUUCAUCUGGGAAUCUUUUAUAAGCUGCUCUGAGAACUUCUCAUAAGGCUAUAAAGUGAUCUUCCUAGGGUUAAUGGGAGUCGUUGAGUUGAGAGAGCUGGCAUCCAUCUGUCUUGGGAGAUGAUGGAAGAAAGUGCCUUUGGGGGUAAAGUCAAACCACUGGAGAGUUACUGUCAGGAUGCUGUCAGCGGCUCCCACCUGGUUGCCCAGGUAAGUAUAAAGACAAGGGAAAGUUUCUUACCAUCCCUUUUUAUUUCAAUCUUUACAGAGAGAGGCUAUAGAACCCAGCUUCUAGGAUAAUGGCGUUGUCCUGAGUGAAUCUCCACACCCAUCUUUCCCACUUCCUCAUUCGUCAUUCUCAUCAUCUCCUCUGUGGGUGCUGCUACAUGCGCUUUGUCUUUGAGCUCUUUGUUCUCCUACUUUUAAGGCUUGCUGGGUUCUGGGAGAUGGAUCGUUUUCUAAUGACACCAUGUCAGCUGAGUGUUAUACCAGUUCUCCCAUGACUUCCCAGCUUUCCCCCUCAUCUGCCUCUGAGCUGCUACCUCCCUCAAUGCCCUGUUGUAAAUAUAUAGUGUCUUCCUCUUCCUCCUCCCUGGAAAGGUCAGUAUGGGGAGGUGGUCUCCACCAUUCUUCCUCUGCCCAGUCUUUAACAGUUACAGUGCCUGAUGUAGCUGUAGAGACCGACAUGGGAGGGACAUGUUUUGUUGCAGAGGGUAGAUGAAGGUAUCCAGUUCUACUGCUACGGGUGCACCAUGGUGUUUCAUCUCUCCAAGCUCCUCCCAGGAGUCACUCCUCCUCUGGUCACUGCUGUGGAUGCAUAAACUGACUAUCUGUCUCCAGUGAUGGGUAUUGAAGUUCAACAACACCUAGGGAGCCAGUGUUUCCUCACUCCUGCUCUAAAUAAAUAAAUAAAAUUAAAACUGCUGCCUGUCCCAGCUUCUCUAGGAACCUACCAUGCAGAAUAUGUAGUUUGAUAGUUAAUAGUUUCUCUCUCUCUCUCUCUCUCUCUCUCUCUCUCUCUCUGCUAUACAGUGGUACCUCAGGUUAAGUACUUAAUUCAUUCUGGAGGUCCGUACUUAACCUGAAACUGUUCUUAACCUGAAGCACCACUUUAGCUAAUGGGGCCUCCUGCUGCUGCCGCACUGUCAGAACACGAUUUCUGUUCUCAUCCUGAAGUUCUUAACCUGAAGCACUAUUUCUGGGUUAGCGGAGUCUGUAACCUGAAGCGUAUGUAACCUGAAGUGUAUGUGACCUGAGGUACCACUGUAAUGCUUUACAUCAACUGGACAGACAUUGUUUACCCAUUGUGCCUCUUUCUUUCUUCCUUUCUUUCUUUCUUUCUUUCUUUCUUUCUUUCUUUCUUUCUUUCUUUCUUUCUUUCAUCCCCAACCCUCUUUCUUUCCUUUUCUCAUUCCCUUACUUACAUGGACCUUACUUACAUCACAUUCAGACAUUAUCCAACAAAAUAAACUCAUCUCCCAGUUCCAGUCUCAAUUCCUGACAGGGUGUUUCCUGUUUGCCCUUUUAGCUCACUCACUGGUAGAUGGAGAUAUUCUCUUUCGGUUGACACACAGCCACUGCUAGCCUUGUCUGACUGACUGUGUUCUUAUCCUGCCUUAGCUCUGCCUAAUUUCUAUUCAUGCUCCCAUAUGAAUACUGCGAACAGUUAUUUGGGCCUGCAGAAGCUUCCUGUGACCGGUGGCUGAAAAGGUGCUGAAUAAAAUUCAAAACAUGAAGUCAGUAAUAAUGAGGUUUUGACAGUGCUACUGAUAGUAGCCGGGCUUGAGAAAUGAUUUUAAACAGAUUGCUCCUUGGGGGGAAUAAAACAUUUUAUUUCAACCUGAGUUGCAUAGGAGCAGCGCUAAAAAUAACUUCUAUUAACUGUUCCAUUCAAAGGAAAAUGAAUCAAGGAGUAAUUACAAUGCCUUAAGAAAAAAGUCAAGGAUCUCCAUCAGUUGGAUGCAUGGGGAUUGUAUUUCAUUUAUAUUGUGCUAAAGAGAAGUUGAGCUCUGUAUGAGGAGUCCAAAAUUCAUCGUGUGAUUAUUGGUCUGUGUUAAAUUUAAAAUCAUGAAAUAGUCUAGCAGUCAAGUUUGCAAAGAUUGAAAGAUCCAAAAGUCACAAUGCCUAGUGCAAGUAAGAAGUAAUAGGAACAGAUUGUCAAACAAUGUUAUUCUCUGGCACUUUCAAGUACAGUUUCUUUUGCAAAUGUGGUUCACCACUGACAAGAACAAUUUUCUUUGUUUCUGCAGCUUCUAAGGACAUUCCUUACAGCCCAGUCCUGGUCAUAGGCUUCAGCUGCUGCAGUGCAAGCACAAAGGAUAAUAUGUGAAACAACCAACAGCCUUGAGAUACCUUAGAUGACCAAAGUUUGGAUGGCAAACACUUUCAUGGAGCACAGUCCAUUUCAUCAUCCGAUUCAUAUUCCUGAAACAGCAGCCAAUCAAGGAGCAGCCAGUUGGCUUACAAACAAGGCGAGGAAAGGGUUUUUUCCUGGUAUGUUUUGGAGGUUCUGAAAGCAUUGCAUUCAUUCUUUCUUUUCUGUAGCACCACCGGUGUCCUUCACUCAAUACGAGUAGUCAGGUCCCAGCUCUGAGGACUAUGUUUGCACUGAAAAUAUACCUCGGUACAAAUAUUGUGCAACUCUAAAUAAAAUCAGGGGGGGCAGAUGCUACCAGCCAGCUUGAUUUGACAACAAUUUCACCGAAGGCAAUUUAAUGAAUAAACAUUUUUUUUGCAGAGGCAGGACAGUGUGGAAAUGCUAUCCUAGAUUUGGGUAACUGUUGCUUAACAGGAGAAAGAGGCAGGGAGGUCAGCAUGGUGCAAACCCACUGGCAGGAUCACCAAAUUGGUCAGCAUGGUGCAAACCCACUGGCAGGAUCACCACAUUGAUUCCACUAUUGUAUUUGCACUGACUUCACCAUCUCACCCCUCUCUCUCCUUGCAUAGCUGCUCCACCCCAUCUGGUAAGCUGCUUCCCCCUUUUCACAAGCAGAAACUGUAAGCGCAAACACUACAAAAAGGCUUUUUAUCAUUUCUGGCAUUUUUUGCAAAAAAAGAAAAGGAAAAGUGAUUCUGCUCCUGCACUAGGUUUGAAUAGGACACAACCAAGUUUUAAGAAAAAUUGAGAAUGGAUCUCUUUAAUCCAUAGUAGAUGCUGCUAUGACAGUUGCAACGAAAAGGCUAAUAUGAAGUGCACAUCCCUGUAUGUCCUUGCCUUUGGUCAGCAGUACCCAAAAGCUAAGGAGAAAAUUAUUAAAAGCUUGCUUUUUUGAUA